UGAGGCUACGUCUAAGCAGCAUUGAGAUGUGUGGGAAAGUUCCCUCUUUAAUUCAAAGAUUUUGGUCUUAUUAGGGGUACCAUAUCUUUUCUCAGUUUGGGACCAUAUACUCUGUGCAGUAUCGGAAUACUGCACACUAUCAGCAAUCUGAGGAGACAGGGAGGAGGUCAACCAGGAAAUGAUCAUGUUAUUACAUCUAUCCCACAGUCUCUGUUGAGCCACAUUAGUGGUAGGUCGAGGACAUGAACCGUCAACAAAACCGAUUUUGUUUUUAGCAGAUAAAGCAACAAUCAUCUUACGCCU
rnacentral:lncRNA from 1 species